AAGUUGAUAAUAGUUCUACCUAAGACUCAGGUGGCGUAGGCCUCAAAAUCCUGCCGAGGAGAAUACGGUUCUUUCUCUAUGUCUUAGUGUAGACAUAGAGUUUUUUAUUACUCUAA
rfam:Lactobacillus aviarius subsp. araffinosus DSM 20653 NODE_19, whole genome shotgun sequence.